CAGCAGCCGCGGGAAUACGAAGGGUGCAAGCGUUAAUCGGAAUUACUGGGCGUAAAGCGCACGCAGGCGGUUUGUUAAGUCAGAUGUGAAAUCCCCGAGCUUAACUUGGGAACUGCAUUUGAAACUGGCAAGCUAGAGUCUUGUAGAGGGGGGUAGAAUUCCAGGUGUAGCGGUGAAAUGCGUAGAAAUCUGGAGGGAUACCGGUGGCGAAGGCGGCCCCCUGGACAAAGACUGACGCUCAGGUGCGAAAGCGUGUGGAGCAAACAGGAUUAGAUACCCCUGUAGUCCCUGUCUCUUAUAC
rnacentral:rRNA from 1 species